AAGUCGUAACAAGGUUUCCGUAGGUAAACCUGCGGAAGGAUCAUUAUAAAAUUUCUACAUAUUUUAAAUAUGUAAAAAAAAUCUUGUAUUCAAAACCCACACUCUUAAAAAACCCAUAAUAAAAAUUUUUAUGUUCAUAUAAAAUUUUUUUAUAUAAAUUAUAUAUAUAAUUAAAAGACAACUUUCAACAACGGAUUUCUUGGCUCUC
rnacentral:misc_RNA from 1 species